rnacentral:rRNA from 1 species
UACAUGGGGUGCAACGUUGCUCGGAAUUAUUGGGCGUAAAGCGCACGUAGGCGGUUCGUUAAGUCGGAUGUGAAAGCCCUCGGCUCAACUGAGGAAGUGCACCCGAAACUGGCGAGCGUUGAGUACGAAAGAGGAUCGCGGAAUUCCCGGUGUAGAGGUGAAAUUCGUAGAUAUCGGGAGGAACACCGGUGGCGAAGGCGGUUCUCUGGGCCUGUACUGACGCUGAGGCGCGACAGCGGUGGGGGAGCAAACAGG